GCAUUUAUGAGGUUUCUCUGCAGUGAGGAUUCUCUGUCCCGUGAGAAGACCUGAUCGCCAAGUUUUCCCACAGCGAACGCGCGUGUGAGGUCUCUCCCCAGUGUGCGCCCCUCCAGUGUGUGAUCAGACUUGGUUCCUGAAAGAUUUCCCUCUAGUGUGGAGCCUCUGGCGUUGAGAAACCUGUGAGCAAUUCCUGAAGGCUUUUCCACGCUCCCAUUUAUAUGGUUUCCCCAAGAGAACAAAUUCUGACGUCAGUGAGGUGCGUUCUGCCUCGAGUAUUUUCCACAGUCAAUGUGCAGAAGGGAAGACAUGCCUGAAUCCAGCCGCAGGGUCUGGACAGGGUUUGCGGUGGAGAAGCCAAGCCCAAGUGAUCUUGCGUGCGGCCCAGUGUCUCUGCUGCUUCUGCACCUAAAGAUGUUUUGCAGACCAUCUACAGUCUGACAUUGGGGUGCAUGAAGCUUUAUCUCACAAAAGCUACCCAACAAUGGGUCAGUAGUCAAGGUGUUGCGUGGACAUCCUACACUCCCCACCAUCCUCAGCAUCUGAGUCCCAAGGGCUGGGACGGCCUCCUCCAGAUCAUCCUGACCUCCCUUACCUCCUCCUGGCCCACAGACCUUGGUAAGACAUCCUGGUUGCUAAACGUGGCUGUUCCCUGAAAGUGUUCGUCUCCUCCUGCUCAGCCAUCUCUUGGGUAACAAUCAGGAUGAAAGGAAGGCUUUCUAGACUUGUUUUGAAAAUUAAAGAUUCUGUCCUGACCAUUUCUGGGUUUGACACUUCUCUCCCUCCCCCCGCCCCCCACUGCAUGGCUACCCCGGGGCCAGCCUGGUGGUAGCCAAAAGGGAGCCUAGGGAAUUCCAAUCCUCUGGGUACAGCCCAGCCAAAAGGGAGCUUAG